UACGUAGGGGGCUAGCGUUGUCCGGAAUCAUUGGGCGUAAAGCGCGUGUAGGCGGCCCGGUAAGUCCGCUCUGAAAGUCGGGGGCUUAACCCUCGGAUGCCGGUGGAUACUGUCGGGCUUGAGUACGGAAGAGGCGAGUGGAAUUCCUGGUGUAGCGGUGAAAUGCGCAGAUAUCAGGAGGAACACCAAUUGCGAAGGCAGCUCGCUGGGACGUUACUGACGCUGAGACGCGAAAGCGUGGGGAGCAAACAGG
rnacentral:rRNA from 1 species